rnacentral:rRNA from 1 species
GAUGGCGGCCAUAGGGAGUCGGGUAACACCUGAUCUCAGCCGAACUCAGAAGUUAAGGCGACUUCCGUCAUGGGAAAUGUGCGCUGCGCGAGCGCGUGACAAGCCCAUGAGCUGCCACAU